rnacentral:rRNA from 1 species
UACGUAGGGUGCGAGCGUUAAUCGGAAUUACUGGGCGUAAAGCGUGCGCAGGCGGUUUCGCAAGUCAGAUGUGAAAGCCCCGGGCUCAACCUGGGAAUUGCAUUUGAAACUACGAGACUAGAGUGUGUCAGAGGGGGGUAGAAUUCCACGUGUAGCAGUGAAAUGCGUAGAGAUGUGGAGGAAUACCGAUGGCGAAGGCAGCCCCCUGGGAUAACACUGACGCUCAUGCACGAAAGCGUGGGGAGCAAACAGG